AGAGUUUGAUCCUGGCUCAGAACGAACGCUGGCGGCGCGCCUAACACAUGCAAGUCGAACGAGAAGCUGUCGCAAGACAGUUGUACAGUGGCGAACGGGUGAGUAAUACAUGGGUGACCUACCCUCGAGUGGGGGAUAACCCGCCGAAAGGCGGGCUAAUACCGCAUACGGUUCCGGUCUUGCGGGAUCGGAAGGAAAGCUGCACUUUGAGUGUGGCGCUCUUGGAUGGGCUCAUGUCCUAUCAGCUUGUUGGCGGGGUAACGGCCCACCAAGGCUUCGACGGGUAGCUGGUCUGAGAGGACGAUCAGCCACACUGGCACUGCGACACGGGCCAGACUCCUACGGGAGGCAGCAGUGAGGAAUAUUGGACAAUGGGCGCAAGCCUGAUCCAGCCAUGCCGCGUGAGUGAAGAAGGCCCUAGGGUUGUAAAGCUCUUUCAGCGGGGACGAUAAUGACGGUACCCGCAGAAGAAGCCCCGGCUAACUUCGUGCCAGCAGCCGCGGUAAUACGAAGGGGGCAAGCGUUGCUCGGAAUCACUGGGCGUAAAGGGCGCGUAGGCGGACGUUUAAGUCAGGGGUGAAAUCCCGAGGCUCAACCUCGGAAUUGCCUUUGAUACUGGAUGUCUCGAGACCGGAAGAGGUGAGUGGAACUGCGAGUGUAGAGGUGAAAUUCGUAGAUAUUCGCAAGAACACCAGUGGCGAAGGCGGCUCACUGGUCCGGUUCUGACGCUGAGGCGCGAAAGCGUGGGGAGCAAACAGGAUUAGAUACCCCCGUAGUCC
rnacentral:rRNA from 1 species